UCAAGUUGCAUUGUUUAGGAAUAUAAUAAAUAAAACAAACUUUUUCUUUUAACGAGGUGAAAUUCAUAGUCAUUGAGUUUCAAUAUGCAAGACAUCAAUUACAGUUCAGUGUUUAUGGUGCCAUCACACUGGAGAAUUCAUAGUUUUCUUGGCUUAGAAAGACAAAUAAAAUACAUUUUAACUUAUAUUUUUCUCCAGUUGAAAGUGCCAGAAAGAGUUGUGCUCGCACACCAUAAGUUAUUCCUCUGUGAACUUGAGCUUGAUUCUUAAUGUAGUUGUGAGGAUGCAAUUGCAAAUUAGAGUACAUUGUUGUGUUACAAAUCCUGCAUAAACAACUAGAUUAAAAUCUGUGGAGCAAAGAGCAUGGAAGGAUGUUAUAAUCAAUGUUUGAAUCACGUUGAGGCCUCUGGCUAUAUAUAGUUGAUUUUCAAAUCACCAUUGUUUUUUAGGAAUGGCUUACAGCAAAGGAGGAACUCAUGGCAGGAUGGAGUUUAUGGUACUACCUGUCCGAUUCCACGGAGGAAAAACUUCACUUACGUCCUUCAAGCGAAGGACCAGAUAGGCACCUAUUUCUACUUUCCAUCACUUGCACUCCAUAAGGCUGCAGGAGGAUAUGGUAGCAUCAAAAUUUCCAGCCGUCCUCGAAUUCCAGUGCCUUUCCCUCCUCCUGGGGGGGAUUAUGCCAUCCUUGCUGGGGAUUGGUACAAGAGAAGUCAAAGGGUUAGCAUAUUGUCGAAAAUUAAGUGCAUGUUUGGUAUAUGAUAUUGAGUAGGAUAGAGAGUAUGAUAAACAAGAUUUUAGCUUAAUUUUUCUCACCAAAUGUUCCCUAAAGAUUUCACAGCAAUUUGAUCUCAUAAACGUGUCAUCUAAUUUGCUGUCUGCUGCUUUUGUUAUUACAGCAACUGAAGUAUUUCUUGGAUACCGGUCACAAUCUUCCCUUCCCCGAUGGCCUUCUGAUCAAUGGUCGAGGGUGGAAUGGAUACACAUUUACAGUUGAUCAAGGUAACACGAAUUUCUUAAUCAAGUAAUCUGGUUAGAAUUUUUAUUAUUAUAAGCUUGUGUUUCUUGCCUGCUUUCCUUUCCUCAUCCACACAAUAUCUUUCUGCAGGCAAAACCUACAGGUUCAGGAUAUCGAAUGUCGGACUUACAACUUCCAUUAACUUGAGAAUCCAGGGACACUCAAUGAAACUAGUUGAGGUAGAAGGAUCUCACACGCUUCAGAAUAUGUACUCUUCCCUCGACAUCCAUUUAGGGCAGUCUUAUUCAGUCUUGGUCACAGCCAACCAGCCAGCAAAGGACUAUUACAUUGUAGUUUCCUCGCGCUUCACCUCUAAAGUGCUCACCACUACUGCCGUUCUCCAUUACAGCAACUCAUUUACCAAAGUUUCCGGUCCUCCCCCUGGUGGACCAACAACUGAGAUUGCUUCGUCUUUGAACCAGGCCAGAUCAAUACGGUAAUUCAAAUAGCCUGUAAAUUCUUUUAGUUGAUACUAAUAAAGCAGGGAUCAUUUCUAAUUUUACUUAAUUUGUUGACUCUGAAAUCAGUUGGAAUCUGACAGCCAGUGGACCUAGACCUAAUCCUCAAGGCUCAUACCACUAUGGAAUGAUCAAGCCCUCUAGGACCAUUAUUCUUGCUAACUCUGCUCCAUAUAUAAAUGGCAAACUAAGAUAUGCUGUCAACGGUGUAUCAUAUGUUUCCCCAGACACUCCCUUAAAGUUGGCCGACUACUUUAAGAUUGGAGGAGUUUUCAGCAUUGGAAGCAUCCCUGACAGACCUCCAUGGGGAAAUGGAGGAUAUCUUGCAACCUCUCUUAUGCAUGCUGAUUACCGAUCUUUUGCUGAGAUUGUGUUCCAAAAUUGGGAGGAUACUGUCCAGUCUUGGCACAUUGAUGGAUAUUCUUUCUUCGUUGUUGGGUAAGUAAAUUUGUGAUUUUGAAGAACGAGGUAUUCACUCAUUCUUUCUUGAUGAUUUAUUAGUUUGCUGAUACUGUGAAUGAACAGAAUGGAUGGUGGACAGUGGACUCCUGCGAGUAGGUCAAGAUACAAUUUGAGAGACACAGUUGCCCGUUGUACGACUCAGGUAUACAUUAAGACAAGACUUGUUUAAAAACAACAAAGCAAAUCUUGGUUCUUUCAGUUUUCUUUUACUAAGAAUUUUGUUCUAAUCACAGGUGUAUCCAAAAUCUUGGACUGCAAUAUACAUAGCUUUGGACAAUGUGGGAAUGUGGAACAUAAGGUCUGAGAACUGGGCAAGGCAGUACUUGGGUCAGCAAUUCUACUUAAGGGUUUACACCCCGUCGACUUCAUGGAGGGACGAAUAUCCUAUUCCGAGGAAUGCUCUUCUUUGUGGCCGAGCAAGAGGGCACCACACUCGACCCCUCUGAUGGCCUAAAAUCUGUCACGAGAGGGUGACCGAAUUCACAGGAAGGGAAAUGCACAACCAUAACUUAAGCAGCUCAACUCGAGCUAUGAGUUAUAUUGAUUUAUUAGAGUAUUCAUCACUUGCAUCAAUUUUCUGAAUUGAUUUUGUCUGAAUUAUUGGAAUAAUUUUAUGAUUAAUUUCUCCUAUUAGUCCUGGUGUUAAAAGGCCAAUACACGGACCAAAUUGUUCUAUCUAGUUACCAUGGAAAAAAAAAACAGUAAUUUUAUCACUCCUGCGUUCCUUAUGCAUCUUUUUACUGACUUACAAG
rnacentral:lncRNA from 1 species